rnacentral:pre_miRNA from 1 species
CCUUCGUCCUAUAAUAACUUUAUUUUUUAGUUUUGACCCUUCGUCUUAUUUAAAAUUUUUUUGUGAUUAAUAUUUUUAUUGUUACUAGACGAUAAAACAUGAAUAAUAGUAUAUACGUGACUAAUUUUUUUAAGCUUUUGUAUAAAUUUUUUAAAUAAGACGAAUGUUUAAUGUUAGACAUGAAAAAAC